UGGGGAGACGGGCGGCGGCCGGGUUACCUGGGAGAGCCUGGGUUGGAAGGGAUGAGACCUUCUCUUCUCUCCGUAGUCCGGCAGCUUCGCUCUUCCCAGCACUUUGCAUUUAUUAAUUUCCGCUUCCUGAAGUCUAGCAACAAGUGGGGGACAGAACCUGCCUCUGUCAGAAAGAGAAACUGAGGUCCCGAGGGUCUCCUCGCUUGGCACAAUGACUGGAAUUUGAGUUGCAUAGGGCCGUCCGACACGUGUUCCCGUCCAGUCCCAGAAAUUGGCGUAAAAAUUAUCCAGCUUCACCUUGGAGAAUUUUGCCCAGUCAUAACCCCAGGAAGGUGCCUGGAUUCCAACGCCAUCCAGCCCUGCCCAUUCUCCCAAACACAUGCCUCGCCUCCUCCCCGUGUCCUGGACUUCCAUCUGACCCAGAAGCCCCUGCCUGAAAAUGCAGAAACAGAAGCUCACAGAAGACUGGUAAUGUGUCCAAGGUCACAAGACUAGCUUAAGAAAGAGCCAGCCUUCACGACCUCCUAACUGCCUGCUCCAGUGCCUGCCAAAGUGCCCUUCCUUCUUGCCAGAAACAGGACAGCUAACUUCAAAGGGCAAAAGAAGCAAACAUCACUGCACUUCUCCAAAAGACAGUAUAACGAAUAUAGCAGCACUGCCUUGGUGUUUAAGUUCCAUUGCACUAACGUACCAUCUGUUUGACCUUGAACAAGACAUAUCAUUAAAUCCCUGUGAGCCUCUGACUGCUCAUCUAUAAAAGGAGAUGAUGAUAACAAAUUCUGCCUCCUUGGACUGGCAAGAAAACCAAAUCAGUAAAGAAUAUAUAUGAAGGUACAUGUACUUUGAACUUACAAAUGAAAAGAGUGAGUGUUAGACCUUGGUAUCUGUGACUCAGUAAAGUGACCAAUGACAAAGCCCAGGGAUUUUGAUGCUAAAUUCAAAUAUCAAACAAGAUUCCUUACUUUGUCCCCCAAGUAUCUAUAGGAAGAGUUUAGUACAAAGUGAACUAAAUUUUUUCUACCUACAGAAGAGAUAGAAG
ensembl:lncRNA